rnacentral:rRNA from 1 species
CCUUCGGGCGCUGACGAGUGGCGGACGGGUGAGUAACGCGUAGGAAUCUGCCUUAUAGUGGGGGACAACGUGGGGAAACCCACGCUAAUACCGCAUACGCCCUACGGGGGAAAGCGGGGGCUCUUCGGACCUCGCGCUAUGAGAUGAGCCUGCGUUAGAUUAGCUAGUUGGUAGGGUAAAGGCCUACCAAGGCGACGAUCUAUAGCUGGUCUGAGAGGACGAUCAGCCACACUGGGACUGAGACACGGCCCAGACUCCUACGGGAGGCAGCAGUGGGGAAUAUUGGACAAUGGGCGCAAGCCUGAUCCAGCAAUACCGCGUGUGUGAAGAAGGCCCUAGGGUUGUAAAGCACUUUCAAUGGGGAGGAAAACCUGCCGGUCAAUACCCGGUAGCUUGACAUUACCUAUAGAAGAAGCACCGGCUAACUCCGUGCCAGCAGCCGCGGUAAUACGGAGGGUGCGAGCGUUAAUCGGAAUUACUGGGCGUAAAGCGUGCGUAGGCGGUUCGUUAAGUCAGAUGUGAAAGCCCUGGGCUCAACCUGGGAACUGCAUUUGAAACUGGCGGACUAGAGUUUAGUAGAGGGGAGUGGAAUUUCAGGUGUAGCGGUGAAAUGCGUAGAUAUCUGAAGGAACACCGGUGGCGAAGGCGACUCCCUGGACUAGAACUGACGCUGAGGUACGAAAGCGUGGGUAGCAAACAGGAUUAGAUACCCUGGUAGUCCACGCCGUAAACGAUGUCAACUAGCCGUUGGUCCUAUAUACAGGAUUAGUGGCGCAGCUAACGCAUUAAGUUGACCGCCUGGGGAGUACGGCCGCAAGGUUAAAACUCAAAUGAAUUGACGGGGGCCCGCACAAGCGGUGGAGCAUGUGGUUUAAUUCGAUGCACGCGAAGAACCUUACCUACCCUUGACAUCCAUAGAAUC